rnacentral:rRNA from 1 species
GAUGAACGCUAGCGGCAGGCCUAACACAUGCAAGUCGAGGGGUAGCAGGAUUAAGCUUGCUUAAUUGCUGACGACCGGCGCACGGGUGCGUAACGCGUAUGCAACCUACCUUAUACUGGGGUAUAGCCCGGAGAAAUUCGGAUUAAUCCCCCAUAGUACUAAUGAAUCGCAUGGUUUAUUAGUUAAAGCAUUGCGGUAUAAGAUGGGCAUGCGUCCUAUUAGCUAGAUGGUGAGGUAACGGCUCACCAUGGCUACGAUAGGUAGGGGGCCUGAGGGGGUGGUCCCCCACACUGGUACUGAGACACCGACCAGACUCCUACGGGAGGCAGCAGUGAGGAAUAUUGGUCAAUGGGCGCAAACCUGAACCAGCCAUGCCGCGUGCAGGAAGAAUGCCCUAUGGGUUGUAAACUGCUUUUAUUUGGGAAUAAACCUCUUUACGUGUAGAGAGCUGAAGGUACCAAAUGAAUAAGCACCGGCUAACUCCGUGCCAGCCGCCGCGGUAA